CAGCCGUAAGCGUCUCAAAACAUUCCUCCUCUUUUUAUUAGAAUUGAAUAGUGAUAAUACAAUUAAAAUUGUUGACUCUAUGAACUGGAAUAGAUAUUUUCCACAUAGAGUGCUGGUUGAUUGGUCGAUCAGAAAAGUUAUGUAUUUUUAAGAGCCAAAACCUAUGUGUGAUGAAGUGCCUUUUUUUUUUUUGUUGCUCCCAAAAGGCUCCGUUACUCAAGUACACAUAAAUUUAAGUUAUCGUUCAGAUAACAAAGAAUAAUUUUAUUUUCGGAUAAAAAAUACGGCCCAUAGGAGGCCAACUGUCAGGAAACGUCGGGAAAACCACUUAUUGCUAAUUUUGUCGAAUAUGUCGUGAGGGGUAGAGGGAAAAGAUCUCUCACCUAAAGUAAUGGGUAGUAGUAGGUAAUAGUAAAGGGAUGAUAGCCAUUUAUUCGACUAAAUGGACGAUGUUAAAAGUUACCCAUCAAAUUAGUUACCUUUAACUGCUAAAACUCUAUGGGAACGACAUAGAGCCAGCCGAGAGUGAACUUUGCUAAUUAACGAACUGAAUCAAUUAGAUGAUUCCAGACCAACCAACUGUUCGUCUAUUUGGAUUCGCUUACUGAUUUUGAUCUGGCAGUUCCAUUC
rnacentral:lncRNA from 1 species